CUYUAAAGAUGGCAAUYGACAGUYCAAAUACCAUUUYGCCUUUCGUYGUCCCUUUUUGUGGCGACGCGGGGUGAACCAUGAAGUAAUCUCUGCGUCCCUGUCCACCCACAUUCGUUUGUGGUUGUGGACUGGUCCGUAGGGUAUUCGCUUGAGCUCUCGGAUGCGGUGCAUCAUAUACGGGCAUGGGGACUCGCGUCCCCUGUCUGCCCGAACAAAAGCUUUCAUCGCUUAGUUGCGAACGAUGGCGGUCGCCGUUUCGAGCCCUCGGGCAAGUGCGGUGAUAGCCUCGUUGAGG
rnacentral:misc_RNA from 1 species